rnacentral:rRNA from 1 species
AACGAACGCUGGCGGCAGGCCUAACACAUGCAAGUCGAGCGAGGACUUCGGUUCUAGCGGCGGACGGGUGAGUAACGCGUGGGAAUGUGCCCUUCUCUACGGAAUAGCCCUGGAAACUGGGAGUAAUACCGUAUACGCCCUUUUGGGGAAAGAUUUAUCGGAGAAGGAUCAGCCCGCGUUGGAUUAGGUAGUUGGUGGGGUAAUGGCCUACCAAGCCGACGAUCCAUAGCUGGUUUGAGAGGAUGAUCAGCCACACUGGGACUGAGACACGGCCCAGACUCCUACGGGAGGCAGCAGUGGGGAAUCUUAGACAAUGGGGGCAACCCUGAUCUAGCCAUGCCGCGUGAGUGAUGAAGGCCUUAGGGUUGUAAAGCUCUUUCAGCUGGGAAGAUAAUGACGGUACCAGCAGAAGAAGCCCCGGCUAACUCCGUG